GGUUGUGGCUCAGUGGUAGACUGAUUGCCUAGCAUGCAUGAGGCACUAGGUUUGAUCCCUGGCACCA
rnacentral:tRNA from 1 species